UUUCCCUAGAAUCCCGAGGUUCUAUCCUAUACUCACUCCCUUUCCUACUCCUCCACCCUCACCCAAAAUCCACCAAAGUAAGCCUUAGCCAUGGAAUCCAAGAGCUUGUGAGGUAGAGAGGGACCUUCCUUAGGUUCUCCUUCUUCACUUCUCUUUCCCAUCAAGACGACUGACGAAAGGGGGAGAAAGGACAGAUCACCUGCCGAUUCACUAAGUUUUCAAAGUCCAAAGAGCGCAGACUAGCCACGGAGCUUGGAUACGGUUUCCCGAUCGGAGAUCCAUGGAUCACAGACGGUAUCUCCCCAUGGCCUUUCGCCUUUGAAAGCGUCCUUCCUUCUCAAUGCCCGGGCUAUAUAUAUAUAUAUAUAUAUAAAAGUUGAGAUAUUAUUUUUUAGUUAAUCAUAUUUUAUUUAGAAAUAAAUUAUUUGUCGAAAAUAUUAGUUGAAUUUGUAUCUACCCACUUCUUUUUUUCCUAUUUUUUUAAAAGAAUGCAACGAAUACUAUUCCCACAAUAGGAAAGAGCUUUUCAAAUUUCUAAACCAAAUAGGAACAUAAGUGAGGGUAUAACUUAAUCUCAGCCUUCCAUUCCAAUCAUCUCUCUAAAUUUCCUUGUCCAGUUGAAGAUCGCAGGCGCUUGACGUUUGGAAGACCAUAAUCUUCUCACUGGAAUCUGAAAGGGACUGUGAAGGGGUUCGCUUGGCUUCUUUAUUUAUAAUUUCUGAUUCUGUGUUGUUCCAAAUUAGUGCCAUGGUAUGUUGUUUGAUUUUUCUGGAAUUGAUUUGUGAGGAAUAUAAGAAUCUGAAUUUUGAUCUUUAAUAACUAAACAUCAUGGUGUGGAGUCUGAAGAGCGAUUAAGCGACUCUUUUUGUCUUAUUGGUUUUCCAAAGAUUUUGUCAUUUCAUAUCAUAAUUCCAAUGCAAAUAGACUCUCUUUGAGAUUCCAAGGUUAAAUGCUUUGAUGUGAGGGAUCUAUUUGGGGUUUGAGCAAAAAUUCUUUCCCUUAUGGGUAUAACAAUAAGAUUUUAGUGAUCAUCAUUCUGUAGGGAGUUUCAAUCCUGACAAUCAUUUCUUUGGCGUUUUGAACACAAAGAUUAGAUCAGAAAACAAAAUAAUUGAAUCUCAGUGUUUGCACCUUUCUCUGUUUUCCUUGUUAUUUUGAAAAUCCAUUAAGUGGGUUGAUUGUCAAGUAUCUGGUUGGAGUUUUUUCUUUUUAGCUAAUUUUUUUUUAAAAUAUAUUUGUUAAGUAGUUAGAUUAAAGUUGGCCAGCCAUCUUGAUCAGUAGUUUGGUCUGUGUUUGCCAAUUAGGUCUGAUUGACAAUCAAAAAUUUCUUCUUACCCAACUCGUUUUUUUAUGGACAGACAUUUAUGGGAAGGAACCUUGAUAACAUAGGUCUGGUUUGGUCAUGUACACGUGGUUCGACAUUUAUAGAAAUGAAUGUCAGGCUUUGCACGUUUAACUGAUAUUUCAAACCAUUGUUUUUCUAGGGACGUCUGGUUAGAUAUUCAGGAAGAACUCUCAUUGGUGCCUAACUUUUUACUUCUAAUUUCAGCUUAAAACAAAAAGUUUAAAUUUCAGUAAGUUUUUGGUUCUAUGCUGUUUCUUUCGAUCAAUUUGUUAGGAGAAUGGUGAGGUGAUGCUAGCUUUAUUAGUUUCGUUUGUGGUUUUGAUAUUUUUGACUCAAUAAUUAUAUGUUUUGUGAUUUCUUCUUGCUUUUUUUGGAAACAACAGCUGUCGUUUAUAUAGACUUGAAAAGAGUUCUUCUAGCAUUUCAAUAAUCUCAGUGAGCAAUCCGGAGAAAGGAGCCUUGUGGUUAUGUUCUUAUGAUGAGGGAGUUUCUCUACUACCUUAUGUGUUUCUGUUUUAGUCAACAGUAUUAACUCCUAAUAGAUGUACAAUAAUUUAAGCUAGUUAAGUUGUAUGUAUUUGUAGGGUUCAACAUUUUGAUUGUUAAGUAUUAUUUUACAUUGAAAUAUGAUUCUUUUUUUUUUCUUAAUCCUAACUGAUUUGGAACUAUGGAAGGCUGAGCUCUUUAUGCUACUGCCUACUGAUCUUAUGUCUUCCAUUGUCGCAAAACUGUAGUUUUAUUGCAUUGCUAAUAGACAUUAGUAUAUUAUUUUGGGUGAUUGCUCUAGUGAUUGGCUUUCAAUGUUUUGUGCUUUUGGUUUUUGUGUCUCUACUUAAUUAUGAUAUUGCUGAUGUUUAGAUAGUUGUAGCUGGAUUAAGUUUAAUUAUUCAAUUUGGUUCUAGUUUACUCUCUCUGUAUUUUCUUCCUUGCAGGAUUUGGGUUUUAGUUUUUGGUUGGGCAUUUUUGGCCAGGGUCAAACUUUCUCCUAAUUUCAUUUGGUUCUUGUUACGUACAUAGCUUCUUAUUUUCAAUGCUAGCUUUUCUUAAUAUUUAUGAUACGUGACUUAAAAGAAGGUGAAUAGUGAUAACUUUUUAAAAGAGAGAUAUAAGGUGAAUAGUGAUAACUUUUUAAAGAGAGAUAUAAGGUGAAUAGUAAUAACUUUCUAACAGAAAGAUAUACUUUUCUUGUUUUGAAGUUCUAAUCUUGUACUCCAUAAAUUACUGUGUGCCAAAGAAGGAAAUGAAGUUCCUGUGGCUUGAUCUUGAUCUAUAUUUUAAUAGCUUCUUGUUUCAAUCUAAAAUUUGUUUCAUGAUCGACUUGGGAUGAGUGAAAUCAGGAAGUAAAAUUGCAUGCAUUUGCUUAAUUUUGUCUUCUUUAUUCUGCAUCACCCUUUGUGGAAACUGUUUAACCUUUUACAAUUACUCUAAGAUUGAGUUGUUUUUGGAAAUGCUUUGUAGCUUUGAUCAAUAGUCAGAAUUCUAAAGGUACACAUAUUGGUUGUACACUUGGUUUGACUUUCCUUUCUCCAUCUUCCUGUAGUUCAACUCUAUAGUUUUGAUCAAUAUUCUUUUUGGGUUACAGCAAAUAAAUCCAAUCAUAAAAGCGUCCAAUUGAGAGAAGUGAAAAAGAGCCUCAAGUGCCACAAUGGUAAAUUACUCUGUUUCUUAUUUGUAUUCGAUAAUUUUGCUUUGCUUUGCGCCUUGAAUAUUAUAGGUAAAAUAUAUUUAAUAUUCCAAUUGACCCAGUUUAGAUAAAAAUAUAAAAUAAUUAUCUUAUAUUUUACUAAAAUGUUUGCUAAUACUUUUUCUUUUAAAUUCUUUUGGCAUUUUGGCAUAUAUUGGCUAUGUCGUCUUCUGUAUUACAUGCUAUGCAUCAUGGCAUUUUAGCACACAUUGGCUACCUUGUCCGCUAGCCUACGUCAAUUGCAGUAUAAUGAUGCUAAUUUUGAAGGUUAGCUAGCUGAAAAUUUUUAUGUGAUUUUUGUUUGUAUUUAUGUUGUUGGACACUUUAGUAAGAACAAGAAAGCGAUUGCCUGUGGUUUAUUUAUUUAUAUCAUAUGUUUUCAUUUCUUUUUUACUGGGAGUAGAGCUAUUUUUGCACUCUUUUUUAGUUAUAGAAGCUCUAAAUAAAUUCAAUCAAGAAAGCAUCCAACUGAGAGAAGGGAAAAAGAGCCUCAAGUACCAAAAUGCUGUCGUUUAUCUAGACUUGAAAAGAGUUCUUCUAGCAUUCCAAUAAUCUCAGUGAGCAAUCCGGAGAAAGGAGCCUUGCGGUUAUGUUCUUAUGAUGAGGGAGUUUCUAUACCUCCUUAUGUGUUUCUAUUUUAGUCAACAGUAUUAACUCCUAAUAUUCUUAUUAGAGAAUGUACAAUAAUUUAAGCUAGCUAAGUUGUAUGUAUUUGUAGGGUUCAACACUUUGAAAGGAAGUAUUAUUUUACAUUAAAAUAUAAUUCUUUUUUUUUUUAAUCCUGACUGAUUUGGAACUAUGGAAGGCUGAGAUCUUCUUACCACAUCUUUCAGGUAUUAACUCCAGCCAGUGUUGUCAUAGAGCACUAAUCAUGAGGGAGUUCUUUUUUCUUUUGAAUAAUGGGUUUUCUAUUUUGAAUAUGAUUAAAUUAGAUUGAUCGAGGGAAGUUAUGGGGUUUCUAAUUCAUUUGGUUCCUUACUUCCCAUAAGUGCCUUUCUCUCAUCAGGUUGUAGGUUAAAGAUUGGAAAAUAAGCUAUUUUGGAUGUCAUUAUCCAUAAUCUGUUAUUUAAUUAAUACUCUUCAGUAGUAGUGAAUUUUGAGUAUUGGCUUUUCUGAGAUCCCACUAGCUUGUGGAGAUAUGGCUGCCAUCAUUGAAAAAUUGGUUCCGUUUUAUAAUUUUGUGAUUUAAUUAAUUGCAUUAUGAUAUUGAGGAGCCCUGUGCAUUGGUUUUUGUUCAUCUCUUGGUCUUUACCAGCUUGUGGAGAGAUAAGUGGCUUUUGUCACUAUGUGCUUCGCUUCUCAAGGCCUUGAUUGCAAUUUUCAAAUUUGGGUACAUUUGAAUAAACUUGACUAUGACUGUUCCUUUCUUUAAAAAAUUAGUUGCAGGCUUGUGCACAGGUUUUUAUUUUGGAUCCUCGUAUGUGGAGCUUGUGUAUUAUUAGCCUCUUUUAAUUCACAGAAUUUGAAUCAUGAGCAAAAAUGAGUUCGGAUAUUUUUUGCAGAUUGUGACAUGGUUUAUUAUUCUGGCAAUUAGAGGCUUUAUUCUGAUCAUACCAACAAUGCUCUUCUACUGAUUGUUCUGCUCCAGUACUUUCCACGAUUCUGAGAUCAUCAAAGCCACUGGAAUAGUCACAAAGACUGCUUGGGCUGGGGCUGCCUAUAACCUCCUGCUCUACAUGUUGGCUAAUCAUGUCUUAGGAGCCUCAUGGUAUCUGUUGUCAAUUGAGCGUGAGGUGACGUACUGCAAGUAUGCUUAUAGACAUGAAAGUGCAGUCUCUCUUAUUUGGAUUGUGGUACUUUGAACAAAGAUGAAAGCAAACUAUGAGGAAACAAUACUCAGGCGUUUAAUAGUUGUGAUCCAAAAAACAUUACUAUUUUUUAUUAUGGGAUAUCUGCAAAUGCUGUCACACAAAAGGUUGUCUCAUCUGACUUUCUUGAGAAGUAUUUCUACUGGUUUUGGUAGGGCUUGCAGAAUCUGAGUUCCAUCGGCCAGGGUUUGGAAACUGCAUUUGCUAUACUUAUUGCCAUCUCGGUUGUCGUUUAUCUAGACUUGCAAAGAGUUCUUCUAGCAUUCCAAUAAUCUCAGUGAGCAAUCCGGAGAAAGGAGCCUUGUGGUUAUGUUCUUAUGAUGAGGGAGUUUCUCUACUAACUUAUGUGUUUCUGUACAAUAAUUUAAACUAAGCUAAGUUGUAUGUAUUUGUAGGGUUCAACACUUUGAAUGUUUGAGGAAGUAUUAUUUUACAUUGAAAUAUGAUUAUUAUUUUUUUCUUAAUCCUGACUGAUUUGGAACUAUGGAAGGCUGAGCUCUUUAUGCUACUGCCUACUGAUCUUAUGUCUUCCAUUGUCGCAAAACUGUAGUUCUAUUGCAUUAUUAAUAGACAUCAAUAUAUUAUUUUGGAUGAUUGCUCUAGUGAUUGGCUUUCAAUGUUUUGUGCUUUUGGUUUUUGUUUCUCUACUUAAUUAUGAUAUUGCUGAUGUUUAGAUAGUUGUAACUGGAUUAAGUUUAAUUAUUCAAUUUGGUUCUAGUUUACUCUCUCUGUCUUUUCUUCCUUGCAGGAUUAGGUUUUAAUUUCUGGUUGGGCAUUUUUGGCCAUUGGGUCAAACUUUCUCCUAACUUCAGUUGGUUCUUGUAACGUACAUAGCUUCUUAUUUUCAAUGCUAGCUUUUCUUGAUAUUUAUGAUACAUGACUUAAAAGAAGGUGAAUAGUGAUAACUUUUUGAAAGAGAGAUAUAGGGUGAAUAGUGAUAAUUUUCUAAAAGAGAGAUAUAAGGUGAAUAGUGAUAACGUUCUAAAAAAGAGAUAUAUUUUUCUUGUUUUGAAGUUCUAAUCUUGUACUCUAUAAAUUAUUGUGUGCGAAAGAAGGAAAUGAAGUUCCUGUGGCUUGAUCUUAAUCUAUAUUUUAAUAGUUUCUUGUUUCAAUCCAAAAUUUGUUUCAUGAUCCACUUGGGAUGAGUGAAAUCAGGAGGUAAAAUUGCAUGCAUUUGCUUAAUUUUGUCUUCUUUAUUCUGCAUAACCCUUUGUGGAAUCUGUUUAACCUUCUACAUUACUCUAAGAUAUAGUUGUUGUUGGAAAUGCUUUGUAGCUUUAACCCUUUGUGGAAUCUGUUUAACCUUCUACAUUAUCCUGAAGCAAAUAAAUCUAAUCAUAAAAGCGUGCAAUUGAGAGAAGUGAAAAAGAGCCUCAAGUGCCACAAUGGUAAAUUACUCUGCUUUUUAUUUGCAUUCGAUAAUUUUGCUCUGCUUUGCCCAUUGAAUACUAUAGGUAAAAUAUAUUUAAUAUUUCAAUUGACCCAGUUUAGAUAAGAAUGUAAAAUAAUUAUCUUAUAUUGUACUAAAAUGUUUGCUAAUACUUUUUAAAAAAGAAAAAAUUCUUUUGGCAUUUUGGCAUAUAUUGGCUAUGUCAUUUUGGCAUAUAUUGGCUAUGUCAUGUUCUUUUUUAAUUAAUAUGAUUUUUAAUAAUAUAAUUAAAAUACUAUUUUUUAGGAUUAGUGUUAAGGGUAAUUAUUAUAAAUUCUCUAUGUUUUCUAUAUCAUAUUGUUUACCACUUAAUAUAUAGAAUUAUAUUUUUCAUCAUUCUAUUUUUUUUUAUUUUAUACUAAACUAAUUAUUAAUUAGGUUUAAGUUUACAUUAUUUGCCCUUAUUUUUAUUGUAAUAUUUCAAUUGUUAUUUAAAACUCCUCUUAGAAUUAAUUAGAACUAUUAUUUGUGCUAUUUAUUUUAACUUUUUAAAGCCUGUGUUAUAAUUAAUUCCCCUUAAACGCCCCUUCAUCUUUAAUCCCUUUCUAGUUAUGCUUUAUUUUUCUUUUCCUCCUUUUCUUUACAUGGUUUAAUUUCCUAUAUUAGGUUUUCAACUCACAUGUUUAAACAACUAAAAUUAAUUUAGCAUUUUGUAUAUGAUAGGCUCCAAUGCUCAACUUGAAGUAAGUUAAGCUUAUUAGUGUAAUCUUCCCAUCCCUUGUACUUAUGUUCAGCCAGUGCUAAAUAAAAUGAUUUUUAGAUUUAUGAAAUAAGGUCAGUUUCACAUGUUAAGAAAAACUUAAGAUAUUAAAGUAAUGAGUCUAUUCAAGGUACUAAUGUAUCUUCUACUAGGAUUAGAUGGGGUAUCAAAGUACCUCUUCUUUAAUAUUUCUUUACUAUUUUAAUAACAAGUUCAUUUGUGUUCAGUUUUUUUGCUAACUUUAUUUCUUCAUAGUUGCAGGUUUUAAUAACAAUGAUUUAGGAAUCCUAAGUGAUUCAUUUAAAACUCCUCUUAGAAUUAAUUAGAACUAUUAUUUGUUUUAUUUGAUUUAAGACUUUUUAAAGCCAAGGUUGUAAUUAAUUCCUUUUAGGCGCCCCCUCAUCCUUAAUCUCUUUCUAGUUAUGCUAUAUUCCUUUUUUUC